rnacentral:rRNA from 1 species
AUGAUCGCCGUGCUGUCGGUGGCCGCGAACGCGAGGCACGUCGUGGACUCGUCCACGUCGAUCAGCACGUUGCCCGGCGCCAGCUUGAGCGUCGCGCCUCCGGGGAACGUCAUGUCCAUGGCCGGCACGCGCAGCGUUGACGCCUGGCCCUUGAAGCACGUGUCCAGGAUGGAGUACGCCGGCGCGCGGGGCGCUCCGCCCAUGGCUGCGCCUAGCGCCUUGCUCAGCGCCGUGUACACGGCCGUGGGCAGGCGCGUGAUCACCGUGCCGGAGUCGAUGAUCGUCGGCAGGCUUCCAUACUCCGACGGCGACACCGUGAGCGGGCUCCCGGCGACGGACAUGCUGGCGAGGCUGACGAAGUAG